rnacentral:rRNA from 1 species
UACGGGGGGGGUAAGCGUUGUUCGGAAUUACUGGGCGUAAAGGGCUCGAAGGCGGCCAACUAAGUCAUACGUGAAAUCCCUCAGCUUAACUGGGGAACUGCGUGUGAUACUGGAUGGCUUGGAUUUGGGAGAGGGAUGCGGAAUUCCAGGUGUAGCGGUGAAAUGCGUAGAUAUCUGGAGGAACACCGGUGGCGAAGGCGGCAUCCUGGACCGACAUUGACGCUGAUGAGCGAAAGCUAGGGGAGCAAACGGG